CCUACGGGUUGCAGCAGUAGGGAAUCUUCCACAAUGGACGAAAGUCUGAUGGAGCAACGCCGCGUGAGUGAUGAAGGUUUUCGGAUCGUAAAACUCUGUUAUAAGGGAAGAACAAGUACGUUAGGAAAUGAACGUACCUUGACGGUACCUUAUUAGAAAGCCACGGCUAACUACGUGCCAGCAGCCGCGGUAAUACGUAGGUGGCAAGCGUUGUCCGGAUUUAUUGGGCGUAAAGCGCGCGCAGGUGGUUUCUUAAGUCUGAUGUGAAAUCUCGCGGCUCAACCGCGAGCGGUCAUUGGAAACUGGGGAACUUGAGUGCAGAAGAGGAUAGUGGAAUUCCAAGUGUAGCGGUGAAAUGCGUAGAGAUUUGGAGGAACACCAGUGGCGAAGGCGACUGUCUGGUCUGUAACUGACACUGAGGCGCGAAAGCGUGGGGAGCAAACAGGAUUAGAUACCCGGGUAGUC
rnacentral:rRNA from 1 species